CCAGGACUGAUGGUGACAGCUGGCCUUAUACAUUGGAUCUUAAAUAUGCUCAAUAUAACUGUCCACAUAAGAGAUGUGUGUGUGUUCCUUGCCCCAGUUUUUAGCGGCCUUACAUCAAUUUCUACUUUCAUUCUUACCAGAGAACUGUGGAACCAGGGAGCCGGGCUUCUAGCUGCCUGUUUUAUUGCUGUUGUACCAGGUUACAUAUCACGAUCAGUUGCAGGAUCUUUUGACAAUGAAGGGAUAGCUAUAUUUGCACUACAGUUCACAUAUUACUUGUGGGUGAAGUCAGUGAAAACUGGAUCUGUCUUCUGGACCAUUUGCUGCUGUCUAUCCUACUUCUACAUGGUUUCUGCAUGGGGUGGUUAUGUUUUCAUCAUCAACCUUAUUCCUCUGCAUGUAUUUGUAUUAUUGUUAAUGCAGAGAUACAGCAGGAGGGUCUAUAUAGGUGAGUAUUUUAAUUUGAUGAUAUUGGAUGGAAUGUUAUUUUUCAGUUUUAAUUUAACUACUCUUUCAAAGGACUAUGAUUUAAACAUAGUUGUGUAUAUUAGUCAUAGAACAGAAAUUUUGAUUUUUGGUUUGCUUGUUAUCGAUAUUCAUAUAUAU